AUUGAACGCUGGCGGCAUGCCUUACACAUGCAAGUCGAACGGUAAUAGGUCUUCGGAUGCUGACGAGUGGCGAACGGGUGAGUAAUACAUCGGAACGUGCCCGAUCGUGGGGGAUAACGAAGCGAAAGCUUUGCUAAUACCGCAUAAGAUCUACGGAUGAAAGCAGGGGACCGCAAGGCCUUGCGCGAACGGAGCGGCCGAUGGCAGAUUAGGUAGUUGGUGGGAUAAAAGCUUACCAAGCCGACGAUCUGUAGCUGGUCUGAGAGGACGACCAGCCACACUGGGACUGAGACACGGCCCAGACUCCUACGGGAGGCAGCAGUGGGGAAUUUUGGACAAUGGGCGAAAGCCUGACCCAGCCAUGCCGCGUGCAGGAUGAAGGCCUUCGGGUUGUAAACUGCUUUUGUACGGAACGAAAAGACUCUUUCUAAUAAAGAGGGUCCAUGACGGUACCGUAAGAAUAAGCACCGGCUAACUACGUGCCAGCCGCCGCCGUAAUAC
rnacentral:rRNA from 1 species